GACGAACGCUGGCGGCGUGCUUAACACAUGCAAGUCGAACGGAAAGGCCCUGCUUUUGUGGGGUGCUCGAGUGGCGAACGGGUGAGUAACACGUGAGUAACCUGCCCUUGACUUUGGGAUAACUUCAGGAAACUGGGGCUAAUACCGGAUAGGAGCUCCUGCUGCAUGGUGGGGGUUGGAAAGUUUCGGCGGUUGGGGAUGGACUCGCGGCUUAUCAGCUUGUUGGUGGGGUAGUGGCUUACCAAGGCUUUGACGGGUAGCCGGCCUGAGAGGGUGACCGGCCACAUUGGGACUGAGAUACGGCACAGCCUCCUACGGGAGGCCGCAGUGGGGAAUAUUGCACAAUGGGCGGAAGCCUGAUGCAGCAACGCCGCGUGCGGGAUGACGGCCUUCGGGUUGUAACCCGCUUUCGCCUGUGACGAAGCGUGAGUGACGGUAAUGGGUAAAGAAGCACGGGCUAACUACGUG
rnacentral:rRNA from 1 species